rnacentral:rRNA from 1 species
CCUACGGGUGGCAGCAGUGGGGAAUAUUGCGCAAUGGGCGAAAGCCUGACGCAGCGACGCCGCGUGAGGGAUGAAGGUCUUCGGAGCGUAAACCUCUGUCAGCAGGGAAGAACGGUCACUGUGCUAAUCAGCAGUGAAUUGACGGUACCUGCAAAGGAAGCACCGGCGAACUCCGUGCCAGCAGCCGCGGUAAUACGGAGGGUGCGAGCGUUAAUCGGAAUUACUGGGCGGAAAGCGCAAGUAGGCGGUAUGUCAAGGCAAGGGUGAAAUCCCCGCGCUCAACGUGGGAACUGCCUUUGAACCUGGCAAACUGGAGUGUGUGCGAGGAUAGUGGAGUUCCAGGUGUAGG